rnacentral:rRNA from 1 species
CCUACGGGGGGCAGCAGUGGGGAAUAUUGGACAAUGGGGGCAACCCUGAUCCAGCAAUGCCGCGUGUGUGAAGAAGGCCUGCGGGUUGUAAAGCACUUUCAGUAGGGAAGAAAAGCUCGGGGCUAAUACCUCCGGGUCUUGACGUUACCUAAAGAAGAAGCACCGGCUAACUCCGUGCCAGCAGCCGCGGUAGUACGGAGGGUGCGAGCGUAAAUCGGAAUUAGUUGGUGUGAUGCGCAGGUAGUGGAAGCCCUGGGCUUAACCUGGGAACUGCAUUCGAUACUGCCCGGCUAGAGUAUGGGAGAGGGAAGCGGAAUGUCCGGUGUAGCGGUGAAAUGCGUAGAUAUCGGAAGGAACACCAAUGGCGAAGGCAGCUUCCUGGCCCAAUACUGACGCUGAGGUGCGAAAGCGUGGGGAUCAAACAGGAUUAGAUACCCGGGUAGUC